GCGUUGUUAGCUCAGCAGGACAGAACAAUUGUCUUCUGAGCAAUAGGUCACUGGUUCGAAUCCAGUACAAUGUGCCA
rnacentral:tRNA from 1 species